UACGUAGGAUGCAAGCGUUGUUCGGAAUUACUGGGCGUAAAGAGUACGUAGGCGGUUUGGUAAGUCUGAUAUUAAAGACCGGAGCUCAACCUCGGGACUGUAUCGGAAACUGUCAGACUAGAGGACAUAGAGGAAGUCGGAAUUCUCAGUGUAGCGGUGAAAUGCGUAGAUAUUGGGAAGAACACCAGUGGCGAAAGCGGACUUCUGGGUUGUUACUGACGCUGAGGUACGAAAGCGUGGGGAGCAAACGGG
rnacentral:rRNA from 1 species